rnacentral:rRNA from 1 species
AUACGGAGGGUGCAAGCGUUACUCGGAAUCACAGGGCGUAAAGCGCGCGCAGGCGGCUUGAUAAGUUGGAUGUGAAAGCCUACGGCUCAACCGUAGAACUGCAUCCAAAACUGUCAGGCUAGAGUGUGGGAGAGGAAGAUGGAAUUAGUUGUGUAGGGGUAAAAUCCGUAGAGAUAACUAGGAAUACCAAAAGCGAAGGCAAUCUUCUGGAACACUACUGACGCUGAGGCGCGAAGGCGUGGGGAGCAAACAGGAUUAGAAACCCCAGUAGUCC